AAUUCUCAACCUCACCCAAUCUUUUUGUGUGAGGCCUUGGACAUUGGGAGUUGCUGGAUUUUAAUACAAAUUCAGCUCUCCUGAAAUGUAUGAGCAAAUCCCCACGUCUUUUGGUAUGAUAACUAUCUAUACCAUUGAAUUUCAGUUUAUUUGAAAGGUUUUGCUUCGAAUUGGCUCUUUACUUAAGAGAUAGUAAAGAAAAA
rnacentral:misc_RNA from 1 species